CAUGCAAGUCGAGCGGGGACGCAUUUUGGAAGUUUUCGGAUGGAAGAAGUGUGUUCUAGCGGCGGACGGGUGAGUAACGCGUGAGCAACCUGUCCCUCACAGGGGAAUAACGCAUCGAAAGGUGUGCUAAUACCGCAUGAGACCACGGUACCGACAUGGUACAGGGGUUAAAGGAGCAAUCCGGUGAGGGGUGGGCUCGCGUCUGAUUAGCUAGUUGGUGAGGUAACGGCUCACCAAGGCGACGAUCAGUAGCCGACCUGAGAGGGUGAUCGGCCACAUUGGAACUGAGAAACGGUCCAAACUCCUACGGGAGGCAGCAGUGGGGAAUAUUGGGCAAUGGGCGAAAGCCUGACCCAGCAACGCCGCGUGAAGGAAGAAGGUUUUCGGAUCGUAAACUUCUAUCCUAGGUGAAGAUAAUGACGGUAGCCUAGAAGGAAGCCCCGGCUAACUACGUGCCAGCAGCCGCGGUAAUACGUAGGGGGCAAGCGUUGUCCGGAAUGAUUGGGCGUAAAGGGCGCGUAGGCGGCCUGGUAAGUUUGGAGUGAAAGUCCUGCUUUUAAGGUGGGAAUUGCUUUGAAAACUGCUGGGCUUGAGUGCAGGAGAGGUAAGUGGAAUUCCCGGUGUAGCGGUGAAAUGCGUAGAGAUCGGGAGGAACACCAGUGGCGAAGGCGACUUACUGGACUGUUACUGACGCUGAGGCGCGAAAGUGUGGGGAGCAAACAGGAUUAGAUACCCUGGUAGUCCACACUGUAAACGAUGAAUGCUAGGUGUAGGGGGUAUCGACCCCUUCUGUGCCGGAGUAAACACAAUAAGCAUUCCGCCUGGGGAGUACGGCCGCAAGGUUGAAACUCAA
rnacentral:rRNA from 1 species